rnacentral:rRNA from 1 species
AACGAACGCUGGCGGCAUGCCUAACACAUGCAAGUCGAACGAGACCUUCGGGUCUAGUGGCGCACGGGUGCGUAACGCGUGGGAACCUGCCUUUAGGUUCGGAAUAACUCAGAGAAAUUUGAGCUAAUACCGGAUGAUGUCUUCGGACCAAAGAUUUAUCGCCUUUAGAUGGGCCCGCGUUGGAUUAGCUAGUUGGUGGGGUAAAGGCCUACCAAGGCGACGAUCCAUAGCUGGUCUGAGAGGAUGAUCAGCCACACUGGGACUGAGACACGGCCCAGACUCCUACGGGAGGCAGCAGUGGGGAAUAUUGGACAAUGGGCGAAAGCCUGAUCCAGCAAUGCCGCGUGAGUGAUGAAGGCCUUAGGGUUGUAAAGCUCUUUUACCCGAAAUGAUAAUGACAGUAUCGGGAGAAUAAGCUCCGGCUAACUCCGUG